rnacentral:rRNA from 1 species
UGCCGCGGUGAAUACGUUCCCGGGCCUUGUACACACCGCCCGUCACACCACGAGAGUUUGCAACACCCAAAGUCGGUGAGGUAACCAAUAUGGAGCCAGCCGCCUAAGGUGGGGCAGAUGAUUGGGGUGAAGUCGUAACAAGGUAGCCGUAUCGGAAGGUGCGGCUGGAUCACCUCCUUUCUAUGGAG